rnacentral:rRNA from 1 species
AUUGAACGCUGGCGGCAGGCCCAACACAUGCAAGUCGAACGGUAACAGGAAGCAGCUUGCUGCUUUGCUGACGAGUGGCGGACGGGUGAGUAAUGUCUGGGAAACUGCCUGAUGGAGGGGGAUAACUACUGGAAACGGUAGCUAAUACCGCAUAAUGUCGCAAGACCAAAGAGGGGGACCUUCGGGCCUCUUGCCAUCGGAUGUGCCCAGAUGGGAUUAGCUAGUAGGUGGGGUAAAGGCUCACCUAGGCGACGAUCCCUAGCUGGUCUGAGAGGAUGACCAGCCACACUGGAACUGAGACACGGUCCAGACUCCUACGGGAGGCAGCAGUGGGGAAUAUUGCACAAUGGGCGCAAGCCUGAUGCAGCCAUGCCGCGUGUAUGAAGAAGGCCUUCGGGUUGUAAAGUACUUUCAGCGGGGAGGAAGGGAGUAAAGUUAAUACCUUUGCUCAUUGACGUUACCCGCAGAAGAAGCACCGGCUAACUCCGUG